rnacentral:rRNA from 1 species
AUUGAACGCUGGCGGCAUGCUUUACACAUGCAAGUCGAACGGUAACAGGCCGCAAGGUGCUGACGAGUGGCGCACGGGUGAGUAAUGCAUCGGAACGUGCCCAGUCGUUGGGGAUAACUACUCGAAAGAGUAGCUAAUACCGCAUACGAUCUAUGGAUGAAAGCGGGGGACCGUAAGGCCUCGCGCGAUUUGAGCGGCCGAUGUCAGAUUAGGGAGUUGGUGGGGUAGAGGCUCACCAAGCCAACGAUCUGUAGCUGGUCUGAGAGGGAGAACAGGCACACUGGGACUGAGACACGGGCCAGACUCCUACGGGAGGCAGCAGUGGGGAAUUUUGGACAAUGGGCGCAAGCCUGAUCCAGCAAUGCCGCGUGCAGGAAGAAGGCCUUCGGAUUGUAAACUGCUUUUGUACGGAACGAAACGGCUCUGGUUAAUACCCGGGGCUAAUGACGGUACCGUAAGAAUAAGCACCGGCUAACUACGUG